GUUUUUUUUAAGGUUCUUCUGUGGUUCUCCCUGUCUCCCUAACCCUGGUGGUGGUGGUGCUGUUUGGAAUCGCUCUCUUCAUCUGUGUAAAAAACAGGAAGAGCAGGGGAAGAGACCUGUCCUCAAACCACAGGGACGCAGCUCAAGGCAACAAGAUAGCAACAGCUCAUGUGUAUGAAGAGAUUCAGAACACCACCAUCUCAGCAUCUGGACCCAACUCUGUCUAUGCCCUGGCUCAACUUCCCACAAACUCCUCCAGUGACUUGACCUACUUGACUGUCGAAUUACCCAUAAGCCCCAGAGAUGACCCCACAUACUCCAACCAGUAGAAGAAAUUCUGUAGAUCAUACAGGCUAUGUAAAUGGAUCACAGAAUGUACAGUACUGUAGUUCUCUCAUCUACUUAUAGAGGCCGCUUUUAUCAAGGGAGUGCGGAAAGGCAAGUCUAGGAAGGAGGUAAAAUGGUUGUCAUGACAACCAUAAACACAGUCCUCUAGACAUGUUAAGCCCAAACAUCCUGUUUACUGAUAACACAAAGUAGCAGUAAGCAAGAUUGAUAAGUGAUACAUGAUGUGUUAACUGUCUUAGA